GGAUUGUGAAUCCACCCAUGCGCGA
rnacentral:tRNA from 1 species